rnacentral:rRNA from 1 species
UNCCGGAGGAUCUUGCCGGAGNGCACCGCGAACGAGGCACGACAAAGCCACGCGAGACGAAAGCCGCAAGGCACGGCGAACUGCUCAGUAACACGUGGACAACCUACCCUUAGGACUGGGAUAACCCCGGGAAACUGGGAAUAAUCCCCGAUAGUCCUCGAAGGCUGGAAUGCAUCGAGGGCGAAAGCUCCGGCGCCUAAGGAUGGGUCUGCGGCCUAUCAGGUAGUAGUGGGUGUAGCGUACCUACUAGCCUACGACGGGUACGGGUUGUGAGAGCAAGAGCCCGGAGAUGGAUUCUGAGACACGAAUCCAGGCCCUACGGGGUGCAGCAGGCGCGAAAACUUUACAAUGCUGGCAACAGCGAUAAGGUAAUCUCGAGUGCCAGGUUACAAAUCUGGCUGUCGAGAUGCCUAAAAAGCAUUUCAUAGCAAGGGCCGGGCAAGACCGGUGCCAGCCGCCGCGGUAACACCGGCGGCUCGAGUGGUAACCGUUAUUAUUGGGUCUAAAGGGUCUGUAGCCGGCCGGAUAAGUCUCUUGGGAAAUCUGGCAGCUCAACUGUCAGGCUAUCAGGAGAUACUGUCUGGCUCGAGGCCGGGAGAGGU